AACGUAGGACACAAGCGUUAUCCGGAGUUACUGGGCGUAAAGGGCGUGCAGGCGGCUUGAUAAGUUCGGCGUGAAAUUUCCCGGCUUAACCGGGGGAUGUCGUCGGAGACUGUCGAGCUAGAGGGUGAUAGAGGCGUGUGGAAUUCCGGGUGUAGUGGUGAAAUGCGUAGAGAUCCGGAGGAACACCAGUGGCGAAGGCGACACGCUGGGUCAUACCUGACGCUAAAACGCGACAGCAUGGGGAGCGAACGGG
rnacentral:rRNA from 1 species